GACGAACGCUGGCGGCGUGCCUAAUACAUGCAAGUCGAACGAGAGCGACCGGUGCUUGCACUGGUCAAUCUAGUGGCGAACGGGUGAGUAACACGUGGGUAACCUGCCCAUCAGAGGGGGAUAACAUCCGGAAACGGAUGCUAAAACCGCAUAGGUCUUCGAGCCGCAUGGCUUGAAGAGAAAAAGAGGCGCAAGCUUCUGCUGAUGGAUGGACCCGCGGUGCAUUAGCUAGUUGGUGAGGUAACGGCUCACCAAGGCCGUGAUGCAUAGCCGACCUGAGAGGGUGAUCGGCCACAUUGGGACUGAGACGCGGCCCAAACUCCUACGGGAGGCAGCAGUAGGGAAUCUUCCGCAAUGGACGCAAGUCUGACGGAGCAACGCCGCGUGAGUGAAGAAGGUUUUCGGAUCGUAAAACUCUGUUGUUAGAGAAGAACAAGUGCUAGAGUAACUGUUAGCGCCUUGACGGUAUCUAACCAGAAAGCCACGGCUAACUACGUG
rnacentral:rRNA from 1 species